rnacentral:rRNA from 1 species
UGGGGAAUUUUCCGCAAUGGGCGAAAGCCUGACGGAGCAACGCCGCGUGAGGGAUGAAGGCCUCUGGGCUGUAAACCUCUUUUACCAAGGAAGAAGAUCUGACGGUACUUGAUGAAUAAGCCACGGCUAAUUCCGUG